GGCUGGUCAGUGGUGUUUACAACUAAUUGAUCACAACCAGUUACAAAUUCCUUUGUUCCUUCUCCACUCCCACUGCUUCAGUUGACUACUCUUUU
rnacentral:Y_RNA from 1 species